GUGUGCACAGUUAUGGCUAUGCUAUGAGAUCUUGAAUGCUUCUAUUAUGCAGGCAAUCCUUUACAAUGCAUCUGCUACGCCUUAUGACAUCAUGGGCUGUUGUUUGCAAUGUGUGGUACUUGGAGCCACAAAAUCUCAGACCUGGAGAGACAUCCAUUGAAUUUGCAGAGAGAGUCAGGGACAUAAUUUCAGUUCGAGCAGGUAUUAAAAAGGUCCCUUGGGAUGGAUAUCUGAAGUACUCUCGCCCUAGCCCAAAGCAUACAGAGCGAAAGCAACAGAUAUUUGCUGAGUCAGUACUGAAGCGCCUGGAGGAAAAGUGAUUUGACAUGUUUAUAAAACUGGGGAAAUACGCAAUCCCUAUCAAUUAUUGUGAUCAGCGUACUCAUGUCAAGUUUGGCAAAUUUUCUAGUGGGGAAAACCAAUAGCAAAUCAAGGGCAAAUCAAUGCACUACACCAACAAAACUUUAGAAACAUAAGAACAUCUUAUAUAGUUUGUACUUCCUUUUUGUGGUGGUUCUAUGGUAAGAAACUGUCAUGGGGUUCUCG